UUUGUCCCUAGAGGAGUUGCAGGUGUGGCUGCUGUGUCACAUGGGUGUCAGUAGGUGGCAGAGAGGAGAGAGGUUAUGUCUAUGCUCAGUGUUCUGAUCUGUGAACCUCUGAAUGAUAGGUAGUUUAACAUA
rnacentral:snoRNA from 7 species